rnacentral:lncRNA from 1 species
AUCAGUUUGCUAUGGGUAAUCAAAGAAAAACAAAUAGAUACACAGUAUCUGCAUCACAGGCAAUAUUUGCAUUUGGUAAAUUAGUACAUAGAAGAGUAUAGAGAUCCUACUUACUGAAGUAUCAAUAAUACAACAAGAGACAUAAUAAGCCUGUGUGACCAGUUGUUGCAUCGAACUGCCACGUAUAUCAGCCAUUGGAACCCCAUUCUUCUAGUGUUGGGGUCAUCACUCCAAUAUUAUUCAUGUCAAGAAUAUUUGCUGCACAAGAAAACACGAAAAUUAUAUGUAUCAGUAAUUCCUUAUGGACUAGAUUCAAAAAUUGCACCGAGUUUGCCGACACUCAUUCGAUCAUGUUUGGUUAAGCUUU